UUGAAUACAAAAUGUCCCCCUAAAGGCUCAUGGGAUCAAAGCAGGGCUUUUCAAAGGCAACUGGAGCAUGAGUACUCUAACUUUGUCAGUAGAUUAAUCCACUGAAGGAUUUAUAAUUUGAUAACGUUAUUGAAAAGUGAUGAAGUCAGAGGAGGUGAGGCCCACUUAAAGGGAACAGGCCAAAGAAGCGAGACCUUGGGGAGUGUAACUAGCUCUGGUCCACUUGUCUCCAGCUCUCUCCCUCUCCCUCUGCUUCCUGGCUGCCAUGAAAUGAGCCGCUCUCCUGCACCCCACCCUUGCGCACUGAUGUUUCUGCCUCACCACAGGUCGAAAAGCAAUGGAACCAGCUGGCCCUCGACUGAAAUCUGAACAUUGUCAAGAGAUGGAAAUACGAGGGACCACUUAAAAUGUGCCUCUGCCCCAUGGAUCUGCAUCCACAGGACCCUCUCAUGGCCUCCGGGAGAGGUCCUUUUGGGCGGGUCGAGAAAUGGGAGGCCUUCUGAAGGAAAUUUUAAUCUGCAAAAUCGGUGUCACUCCAAGCCAACUCCAUCAUACUCUCCGGGAUUGCAGCCUGAGAGCUUUACCAUCCUCUGCAGUUCCCCUUGAGUUAAAACGUGGUAUUGAGAAACUAUGAGAAAAAUCUCCACAAAGGAAGAAUCUGAGAGUUUUCAAGGACCUAUCAAAUCAAGUGAGAAGAUGGCAUCCUGACAGCAGCACCAAUACAAAGAGCCAGGAAGAGAAUGAAAGGUGGAAUACUAACGGGUGGAUGGAGCACAGGUGUGGAGCAGGAAGUGGAAAGAGGCGGAGAUGAUCCAUCAGGCAGAGGCGGCCCAGGAGCACCUAGAAGUUCACGUCUAAAAUGUGGACCUGAUCCUGCAGGGGCUUUACUGAAAGGAUGAACAGGGAGAAUAGUCUCAGAAACACCAGUGACCACCAGAGGUGGACCUUCAGCAUCUCGGCAGUGCUGGUUUUUCCAGGCACGUGGCUUUGUGCAGCUCCGCACCCCCAAACUUCCCAAGUUCUUCUGCUAUCUGCGACGCUGGAGCCAAAGGAAGUCGAAACAGGGACGGAGAUACUAAGCCUGCCCUGGUGGCCCGUGCCUGUCAUCCCGGCGACCGGAGGCCAAACCGGGAGAACCAAGCCGGAAGCCAGCCUCGGCCACACAGCGGUCCCAUCUCCAGGAACAACGGAGCUCUGCCUCCAGAGCGCGCUUGAUUCUGAGCAGGGAGCAAUGGACAGAACGUGGCCUGUCAGAGAACAAAGAAAAUCCUACUGACUUCAGGUAGGCCUCACCGGUUCCCAGCUCGGCCUGACAGCUUCUUGGCAGGCAUCAGGCACAGGCCUCAGCCUGGCUGGAGGGAAAGGAGGACCCGAGGGGAAACAGGCGCAGCCUCACCGAGAGGAGGGCGCCGUCUGCCGUGCAGCGCCAGCGCCACCAUGCGGUCAUCUGCGGAUCCUCAGCGCAAGAGCAAGUCCUUUUCCCUCCACGUUUGAAGAAGGGGAAAAUAAACCCAAAUCAAACUCUGAAGUGAUCUCUUCCUUUGGAGGGGCCACUCUAAGAGAUGCGCUGCAUGAAUGGGUACAGAUUUGGAAAGUAGCAGUUCACGACCCUCCUCAUUAGAUAGCAGUAACAAUUUUGAGUUCUACUGCACAAAUAGCUGGUAAAUGUCCUCAUACAGUGGAAAGAGGCAUUUCCGAUCGGUUGGCAGAUGUGAGGAACAGCUAAACGAAUGCACUACUCAGCCAGACUGUAAAGGGAGGGGCACUCUUGUGAAGGGUAGGUCACAGCUAACAAGCCACCUGUGCUGUCUUGCAGGUCGUAGCUAACGAGCCACCUGUGUUAUCCUCACUAACGUUUGCUCUUGGAGCACAGCUGCACAGUCUUAAGUCCUCAGCUGCAGUGUUUACUUGCUGUGAGAGAUGGCACAGCCUCAUUGAUCACUGAGGCCGCAGUCAUAACCCUUGGCAUCAGGAAGUCCAUCUCUAAACACCAGCUUAAGGCUCACUUAGCAAGUCAUGCUUAGGUCCUGGAGUGACUUAUAGUUUUAAUCAACAGCCAGAUUGUCAGCCAAUUCAAUGAUAUUGGACAGCCUGAUUAGUGCAGUUUCAAGCUGGUCUCUUGCACUUCCUCAUACUCUGAUUUAUCACUUGAUGGGCCCCAAGGUCAGUCAUUAAACAGACACCCUGACCUCCCCUGUCCCCUCCAUGAGUGCCUGCCCAGAUGCCCUUCCUUUUUCUUUUAUCCUCACUUCCUGUUCCCAUCCAUAAAAGGCCACAGAACCUUAACUUUGGGGCUGUCUCUGUCAGACUCUCUCAUGCGGAGGAGUCUGGGCUAAUGGCCGCCCCUCUGGGCCUUCUUGGGUCUGAGUCAUCCUUUGCUUCAUACCAUGGUUGUGAACUGUGAUGAGUUGUGCCCUGUGUGAAGAGCCUGUGAGGAAUAAGUUGGUGCCACUCACUGCAGAGGACCGACCUCCCAAAGCCUGGAAAAGGAACAGAACCCGUCUCUUCAUCCCAGUCCGGGGACAGUGGCGACAGAACAGCCUCACAUCUCAGCAAGGUCACAGGCCUCUUCUCUGCUCAGAAUUCAUUGUUGCCCGCUGGACUCCAGGAAGCGCGCCAAACUUUACACUCAGCACAGAAACUUCCGGAAUCCGCAUGGAGGACCACCCGCAUUAUCCCAGAGCUAGGUCCUUCCUGUGUCCAACUGGAUAUUCCAACGCCAGCUGCCACAAGUUCUUACGCCUCGCACGUUAUUUUUAUGUUACAGCCUCGACAUUCCUCGGGUGGGUGAGUCCAGGCUCCAGCAGCUGAAUAACUUCUGUCUUUGAAGUCCUCCUGCUCUGCCCGCGGGAGUGAUUCCCCGCUGUGCCUGGUCCUAGUGCCUAACCCACGAAGAGGAUCAGAGUCAGGGUUGAAUCUCUUCCUGAGGGUCUGAAAACAGCUGGAACAAAGAAAAACCUUAAUCCCACUUGUCUCCUCUCUGAGAUUUUGUAGUCUUGAAUCUCUUCUCUAUAAAUCUGAUUUAUUUAUUUUUCUCCUCCUACCCGCUAACUUUUUCUGUAUUUCAGUUUACACAGUCAUCUAACUCACCUCGAUUUUGGCCACUACAGAAGCUGAAAUAGCACUUAGCAGCCCAGAUUUGUAGUUUUGGGAGAGGCACCCACUCAAGGUCUGUCCAGUCAAUUAUGGCCAGUAGUUCACACAUCUCCUAAACCUGCUGAAGUCCCUCUUCUUGAAGUUAAAAGAGGGCGAGCCCUGGUCACCGUCCUGUGGAAAAUGCAGCCCCGGACUACACAGUGCAAUUACUGCAAGGACCAGAGCGCAAACCUGAGGUGGAGGAGACACAGAAAAAAGGGUCCAACGUAAAUAAAGAUGUGAAGCAAUGAGACAUGGCGACAGCCCGCGUUUCUGCUACUUCACCCCCAAUGUGUGUUGUUAGGCUGCUAAAUUUGUAGUCAUCACAGUGGCAGUGGGGAACCGACAUAGUGCGUGAGGCUUAGACUACCAUGCAGGGGUUGGAUGUGCGGACACUUGACUCCCACCCUCUAAUCUGACGUCUCACUAUUGUUCUGCAUGGACUCCUUGCUUCUGUGGAAGGCCGUUUGCUCUUUGCUCAAAGCCCACGAGAAAGACGAUCUGCUAUCACAUCCUCCUCUUUAAUCCUUUGCCCACAAGCUUCUACAAGCUUAGAACAACCUCUGUGCCUCAGCUCUCUUUUCCUGAAGGCUGUUGUGCUAUUUGGUUGUGCACAGCUUUUAAAAUUUACAGUUUAUACAAUACAGUCUGUAAUUGAAAGAGAUUGGAGAGAGAGAGAGAGAGAGAAUAUAACAGGAUAAAAGAGAGAAGUUAAAUCUGAAGUCUAAAAAUCAUCCAGGAAACCAGUUGAAUCUGUUUUACAAAUUUCCAUACAUGUGAUUAUAAAUGUAUUAGGUAGCAACAAACUCAAUGACAUUAGUUUCCAUUCUCACUUAUCCUCAUUUUAAUUUUAUAUUUUUUGUUUCCUUUUCCUUUAAUUAUUUUCUCUUUCCUACCUUCCCUCCCUCGAGAUGACCCUUGGAACUAUGAUAUUAAAUCCUACAGGCUGACAUGGCAACUCACUCAUGGAAAAUUUUGACUAACAAAACUACCAGGUCACCAGAUUUCUCCUUUCAUAGGUAUUUCCUUAGUAUACAUUUGAAUAAAUGUAUGAUAAAUUGACAAGAUUAAAAUAGUUUAUUUGACAGCAAUUAUAACUGGGAUCUGAAGAUACUCAGCUGAGGAUUUUCAAAUUUUGCUUGCCUGGCAUCUUCUCUAGGCACCUUGCUGAAAGUCCCUGAGGUAAAUCACCUGCCUGCAAAGCGGAGCAAAGGGAAAGGCAGCCAUACCCUGGGUUUCUGUUAACCUGUGUUGUUACCCCACUGUUACUCCAGUCUAGACAAGUUUACACUAAGAAAUUGUUUGUGUUUUCUGAUGAAAGGUGUUGUGUGUAAUUCUAGGACAUAGUUAAUACUUAAAAAUCUUCUAAACGGUGCUCUUACAUUUCUGAAUAUAGUCAAAUAUCAAACUCGUAUGUUCCAGAGCUUAAAACAAGUUAUUUUUCAUUAGGUGCCUGUCAUUGUAAAUGUCCAGUUUUUGUCCUUCAAAAGUUCAUAAUAACCCAAGAGGAAACUCGUAAAUGUCCGAGGCACAACUUGAUAAAUGCUGUCUAAGGUGUUCCCUCUGUAGAGAGCAACUUCAUUGAUGGAUUUUUUGACACCAACUGGGAGAAGCAAAGCAAGUAGGGUGAAAGUAUUUUUAAAAAAUUUGAACCAAGCCCAUCAGAUUGGCAAUAGGAGUGAAAAAUGACUGUGGUGCAGUCUGAUAGGAAACAUUUCUUAAACUUGUCACAUACGACAUUCCGCUUCUGCUGCAGGCUAUUGGAAGUAAUUUUGUGCACAGGGACAUGGUCACCUAAGGCAAUUCUGUUGUUCAGAACCAACCGCAGGACACACGUGCAGCUCAAGGUGGGAAUCUGGGUUAUCUUGUGACUGUAACCUGUAGCCAGCUACUUCGUCAGAGGGAGAAUUACAGCCCUGUGGAUUAACCUACUUUCACUUUUUAAUGAAUCUCUCCCCCCACCCCACCAGAGCUCAAAGGUAUUUGUCACUGAGAAAAUUUCGGACAUUCUUUAAAAAGCGCAUUUCUUUCAAAAAUAUGGUCGUCCUUCCUGCAUUGAUUCCACAAACAGGGUUCUCAAAUAGGGUGUUGGAAGUGGAAAGUUUCCAAGUCUGUUGUGAGCAGCACUAGAAACCUGGAAGGAAAUUACCUGGUUCCGGAGUAUGCAAGUCCCAGGCAGACCUGAGCGAGAACAAACAUCUGGGAACUAGCAGUCUGCCUAGCAGUAGUCUGUGACUAUGAACAGCCCCUCAGAAAAGCUCGUACUGUAAAAGUAAGCUGCAUAUGCAUGUGGACAGUAUUUUCUGUUAAUACACCAUUAAUUUUUUUGUUGAGAAAUAUUGUGAUGUGUGAUUAAGAACAGACUGGCUGCCUAGAUGUGGAAUC